rnacentral:rRNA from 1 species
GACGUAGGAGGCGAGCGUUGUCCGGAUUCAUUGGGCGUAAAGAGCGCGUAGGCGGUCUUGUAAGUGUGAAGUGAAAUCUCCAGGGCUCAACCCGGAAACUGCUUUGCAUACUGCGAGACUUGAGGGAUGCAGAGGUUUGUGGAAUUCCUGGUGUAGCGGUGAAAUGCGUUGAUAUCAGGAGGAACACCCAUGGCGAAGGCGGCUCUCUGGGACGGUACUGACGCUGAGACGCGAAAGCGUGGGGAGCGAACAGG